CCCUUAGAUGUUCUGGGCCGCACGCGCGCUACACUGUUCGACGCAGCGAGUCUUAACCUUGACCGAAAGGUUUGGGUAAUCUUCAGCAAAGUCGAACGUGAUGGGGAUCGAUCAUUGCAAUUAUUGAUCGUGAACGAGGAAUUCCUAGUAAGUGCAAGUCAUCAGCUUGCGCUGAUUACGUCCCUGCCCUUUGUACACACCGCCCAUCGCUACUACCGAUUGAAUGGUUUAGUGAGAUCUCUGGAUUGACGCUGGCUAGGGGGCGACCCUUGGCCAGACUGUUGAGAAACUGCUCAAACUUGAUCAUUUAGAGGAAGUAAAAGUCGUAACA
rnacentral:rRNA from 1 species